CUUUCUUUGCUGGCGACCGGCGCACGGGUGAGUAACACGUAUCCAACCUGCCCUUUACUCGGGGAUAGCCUUUCGAAAGAAAGAUUAAUACCCGAUAGCAUAAUGAUUCCGCAUGGUUUCAUUAUUAAAGGAUUCCGGUAAAGGAUGGGGAUGCGUUCCAUUCGGUUGUUGGUGAGGUAACGGCUCACCAAGCCUUCGAUGGAUAGGGGUUCUGAGAGGAAGGUCCCCCACAUUGGAACUGAGACACGGUCCAA
rnacentral:rRNA from 1 species